AAAAAAACCCAACGUUCAGCCCUCACUCACUCACUCACCCCCUUCCCCCAACACGGCAACACCCCCACCUAUUCGUGAAUCACUAUCCCUCUGAACUCUGAAGCAAAGUUCAAAAUCACCCUGCGAAAACCCUAGGUUCUCCCUGCAAUGGUUCUGCCGCAGUGCCGCCGCCAUCCGUGCUAUCGGCGCCUCCGUGUCCUCUCUUGUAACUCAGGCCCUCUCUUGUAGCUCGGCGUCCUCCUUCCCCUGUCCCCGUCCUCCCUGGCUUCUCUGUUCGAGGUUGGAGCAGCUCGCCGCUCACCGGUCUCCGUCGAAGAACUGAGAAGGAAAAUGGCAAUCUAAACCAGCAAAAGGAUUUCCGCAGCGUAAGCGCGUGCUCACACUCGCAGGAACAAGAAAACUAACUUUUUUUUUGCCCUCUGGUACCUCUUCGUCUUUCCUUCUAUUUCUGCACUUGCUCAUUGUAUAGUAAGUCAACUCUUUGGAUUUAUGGCAUAAUUGAAUUGGAGAUUCAAGAGACACAGUUGAUUUCUAAUACUGAAAAUUCACCCUUAGUUUUGAUCUAAAUUGUUUUGUUUAGUAGGAGCUAAUAGAAUCUCUUCAUGGCUUUAUCAUUGUUGUUUUCCAAGUUAUACUAGUUUCUUGUAAGAGAAUUAAAGCUAGCUAGUCUUGCCUUCCGUUUUGCACAAAUAAGAAUAUGUAAAUAGGCCAUUUUCUCAAAACUAUAGUUAAAAUUAGGAAGUUUAAUUUAAUAAUAUAUGAUGCAGAUACGCCCAUGGUACAAAUAUUUGAGUAGAAACGAAGUAUUUGUACAUUGUAGCUUGCAUAUGUUGCGGAAUAGGAUAAUAACAAUUAAGAGUAUUGAGUAUUGAUAUACUUGUUAUCUCUCCUUGAAAUGUUACUCUCUAUUUACUGUUUUAAUUUAGCUUUGCAUUCUCUCGGGACUUUUUGGAACAGUGAUUAUAAUGUUGUUUAUUGGGUUUCUUUCAAUAUAUUAUAGUAUUAUCUGAUAUCUUCACACUUUGUACUAUUUGAAUUGGCAUUUCUUUCAAUAGUCACUCACAAGCUGCUUUUACAUUCUAAGAUGUUUAUUUAUAAUUUAUUAAUUAUUUUAUUCUAAAAUAGUUUUUUCGGUUGAACUACGGUUAGACCGGUUGGAUCAGUGAACCAGUGACUAGAGCAGUUUGAUGACUAGUCCGGUUCUCAGAACCUUGGUUGCAACACAGAACUCUUCGUAUAAAUUAGUCCAUGGAGGGAAAAUACGAGAACAAUACCCGUGUCUCUGUUAAACCUCACGUAUCCUGGCAAAAUAAGUUAAGUUUAGUGAUUAAAAAAAAAAAAAAAAAG